UGCUUAGUGGUUGCCAAACGGUAGCUUAUGACGCUGAAGAGAUUACUAAGUAGCCUCAGAAAAGAAAAUAAGCUCAGAAAAGCAUAUAUGAAAAGUGAUAUCUACAGUUCUAGUUUAAUGUAGUGCGUUACAGCAGCAGUUGUUCUGUUUCUUCUGUUGUGGACAAUGUUUUCAGUGUUAGAGUAUUCAAGGAAGCCUGGGAUGCUGUUUUCUUACCUACUGCUGAUCCUUCUACAAGCAAGGGCUUGCAACGUUGACAGCAAGGCAUGGGCAGUCAUACUGGAUUUCUGAACCACCAGACCAACCAAACUGUCAUAGGAGCACAGGCGGAACAGCUAAUUGGGAAAAAAUAAGGUGAUUUAAGAUACAUGACACUUCCUUUUCGCGCAGAAUGCACCAUGUCAUCAUCUCGUUUUCGGAGCAUGGGAGCUGUCGGCAUUAUAACCUGGUGGAAACAUACAGAACUAGUCUCUGGGUUUUCCUUUUACUAACCGCCUCCAGAAAAAAUCACUCACACUUCUAAAGAAUAACUAGAUCCUUAAUUUUCUGAAGAUCCUAGGAAUUUGCAUGCCAUUUUCCUACUUUCUGAAAAUGAAAGGUAGGAUCAGAGCACUUAAACAGUGUGAGUGCCAGAGUCUUCCUUGGACAUAAAGUCUAAAACACACUGCAGCAACAGCCUGCUAAUCCACCUACAAGUUCACAUUAGCUUCUUACUGUUACUUUCAAUAAGCAAAAGUCACAGCGCAGACACCAUAAAAAUCAGAUUUAUGCAAGUUUAAUAAGCCUCAUUGCAAGUUAUUUCUCAGAUUUUCAUGGUCUGCUUAUCUUGGAAAGCAUGUAGAAAGGAAAACAAAAACCCUUUCAAACCUAGCGUUCUUCCACCAGCACCAAAAACAAAGGCAAAACAGUAAUUUCCUCUUGUGCCGGAGAGAGAAGUCAACAUUUUGCUCUGCACAGUGCUGUGAAAGCUCUCAUGGUGGGAAACACUUCUUUGUCAUAGAGAAGCUCAAAGUUGUAUUAAGAGAUAAGCUUUUAAUUAAAUUGGACUUCCUGAGAAGCUGCUAAAGACUAUCGCACUGCUAUCCUGCUGCAGAGACCAUCAAUUGUGGCACUGACAGCAAGCAGCCCUACAGCUCAGAGCCACGAAGUAUUUUGCAUUUUCUCAGUAUUCCUUUCACAAUCAAAACCCGAACUCAAUUGUAUUAUGCUUAAACCGAUUGUUUUUGUGACAAAAAUAUGUUUGCUCUGUUCGCUGAAUGAGGCCAUACAAUUCGUGUUAAAAUCGGUGGAACUACACAGCUAAAAUCAGCACUCAUAGCAUCCUCGUGCAGAGGAGUGGAAUUAGAUAUGAUAAUUGUUUAGCAUGAUCAGCUUUUUCCCUCUUUCACCAUUUAAUUAGCAAGUGGAAGUUGUCAAUUUGGAGGCUGCUAUCAAGUGUCAAGGUGUUAUAAUAGUCCUGACUAGUAAGGGUUACUGAUAAAGGACUGGAAAGAUCACGGAGAGGUGGUAGAAAAGCUGUAGCUUGAUCCUGCUUGGGAAGCAGCACUACUGUAAAUAUUGAGAUGUCCUGAGAUUGGAAAUCAAUGACUAGUGUGGUACAGGCCUAAACCUGUGAGAAAACAGAUAUCAGAUAUCCAAACAGAAAACAGUUCCCAUGAACUGUUCAGACGGGUUUUGCAGUUCUUUUCUUUGUGUUUCUUGUUCUAUUUUCAUUCUAUUCCAGUAUUUAUUUAGUAAUUAUCCUGUAGCAUUCGAGCCUCUCAAGAUUAUAUAUAUUAUUGGAAAUAUUUUGUCAAUGCACAGUUUAUUAUAUGAAACUGUGAAGAAUUACAUUAAAUGUAGUUAGGAAUCGUAAUAAUGAUCACCUAAUGCAAAGUAUAAGCUGUUUUUCUUCUCAGAGUCUACAC